rnacentral:rRNA from 1 species
UGGCGGACGGGUGAGUAACGCGUGGGUAACCUGCCCUGUACAGGGGGAUAACAGUUAGAAAUGACUGCUAACACCGCAUAAGCGCACGGUAAGGCAUCUUAGUGUGUGAAAAUAUUAAUAGGGUACAGGAUGGGCCCGCGUCUGAUUAGCCAGUUGGCAGGGUAACGGCCUACCAAAGCGACGAUCAGUAGCCGGCUUGAGAGAGUGAACGGCCACAUUGGGACUGAGACACGGCCCAAACUCCUACGGGAGGCAGCAG